AAAUUGAAGAGUUUGAUCAUGGCUCAGAUUGAACGCUGGCGGCAGGCCUAACACAUGCAAGUCGAACGGUAACAGGAAGCAGCUUGCUGCUUCGCUGACGAGUGGCGGACGGGUGAGUAAUGUCUGGGAAACUGCCUGAUGGAGGGGGAUAACUACUGGAAACGGUGGCUAAUACCGCAUAACGUCGCAAGACCAAAGAGGGGGACCUUCGGGCCUCUUGCCAUCAGAUGUGCCCAGAUGGGAUUAGCUUGUUGGUGAGGUAACGGCUCACCAAGGCGACGAUCCCUAGCUGGUCUGAGAGGAUGACCAGCCACACUGGAACUGAGACACGGUCCAGACUCCUACGGGAGGCAGCAGUGGGGAAUAUUGCACAAUGGGCGCAAGCCUGAUGCAGCCAUGCCGCGUGUAUGAAGAAGGCCUUCGGGUUGUAAAGUACUUUCAGCGGGGAGGAAGGUGUUGUGGUUAAUAACCGCAGCAAUUGACGUUACCCGCAGAAGAAGCACCGGCUAACUCCGUGCCAGCAGCCGCGGUAAUACGGAGGGUGCAAGCGUUAAUCGGAAUUACUGGGCGUAAAGCGCACGCAGGCGGUCUGUCAAGUCGGAUGUGAAAUCCCCGGGCUCAACCUGGGAACUGCAUUCGAAACUGGCAGGCUUGAGUCUUGUAGAGGGGGGUAGAAUUCCAGGUGUAGCGGUGAAAUGCGUAGAGAUCUGGAGGAAUACCGGUGGCGAAGGCGGCCCCCUGGACAAAGACUGACGCUCAGGUGCGAAAGCGUGGGGAGCAAACAGGAUUAGAUACCCUGGUAGUCCACGCCGUAAACGAUGUCUACUUGGAGGUUGUGCCCUUGAGGCGUGGCUUCCGGAGCUAACGCGUUAAGUAGACCGCCUGGGGAGUACGGCCGCAAGGUUAAAACUCAAAUGAAUUGACGGGGGCCCGCACAAGCGGUGGAGCAUGUGGUUUAAUUCGAUGCAACGCGAAGAACCUUACCUGGUCUUGACAUCCACAGAAGAAUCCAGAGAUGGAUUGGUGCCUUCGGGAACUGUGAGACAGGUGCUGCAUGGCUGUCGUCAGCUCGUGUUGUGAAAUGUUGGGUUAAGUCCCGCAACGAGCGCAACCCUUAUCCUUUGUUGCCAGCGAUUAGGUCGGGAACUCAAAGGAGACUGCCAGUGAUAAACUGGAGGAAGGUGGGGAUGACGUCAAGUCAUCAUGGCCCUUACGACCAGGGCUACACACGUGCUACAAUGGCGCAUACAAAGAGAAGCGACCUCGCGAGAGCAAGCGGACCUCAUAAAGUGCGUCGUAGUCCGGAUUGGAGUCUGCAACUCGACUCCAUGAAGUCGGAAUCGCUAGUAAUCGUGGAUCAGAAUGCCACGGUGAAUACGUUCCCGGGCCUUGUACACACCGCCCGUCACACCAUGGGAGUGGGUUGCAAAAGAAGUAGGUAGCUUAACCUUCGGGAGGGCGCUUACCACUUUGUGAUUCAUGACUGGGGUGAAGUCGUAACAAGGUAACCGUAGGGGAACCUGCGGUUGGAUCACCUCCUUACCUUAAAGAAGC
rnacentral:rRNA from 2 species